rnacentral:rRNA from 1 species
CCCUUAGAUGUCCGGGGCCGCACGCGCGCUACACUGAAGGAAUCAGCGUGGCUUUCUCCCUGACCCGAAAGGGUUGGGAAACCCGUUGAAUCUCCUUCGUGAUAGGGAUUGGGGCUUGAAAUUGUUCCCCAUGAACGAGGAAUUCCCAGUAAGCGCGAGUCAUAAGCUCGCGUUGAUUACGUCCCUGCCCUUUGUACACACCGCCCGUCGCUACUACCGAUUGAGUGAUCCGGUGAAUAAUUCGGACUGCAGCAUUGUUCAGUUCCUGAACGUUGCAGCGGAAAGUUUAGUGAACCUUAUCACUUAGAGGAAGGAGAAGUCGUAACA